CCUUUCUAAGGGAGCACCACGAGACCUGGCCGGCCCCGUAGAUUGCGGGAUCAGCCGAUUGUCAGGCGAUUCGUUGGAUGGCCUUUCGCCUGUAGUGGGUGGGGGUCUGGUGCGACAACAAACUUGUAAAACUGCCAGACACACUAUUGGGCUUUGAGACAACAGGCCCUGCGAUGCCCGUGCCUUUGUGGUGGGGGUUGUCGGCCUUCGACCCGUUGGGGUUGGUGGUGUUUGUUGUUGCCCUGCUUUGGUGGUGGGGUGUGGUGUUUGAUUUGUG
rnacentral:misc_RNA from 1 species